rnacentral:rRNA from 1 species
UACGAAGGGGGCUAGCGUUGUUCGGAUUUACUGGGCGUAAAGCGCACGUAGGCGGUUUGUUAAGUCAGAGGUGAAAUCCCGGAGCUCAACUCCGGAACUGCCUUUGAUACUGGCAAGCUAGAGUCCGGAAGAGGUAAGUGGAACUCCUAGUGUAGAGGUGGAAUUCGUAGAUAUUAGGAAGAACACCAGUGGCGAAGGCGGCCCACUGGGCCGGUGCUGACGCUGAGGCGCGAAGGCGUGGGGAGCGAACGGG